CAAUAGCGUAUAUUAAAGUUGUUGCGGUUAAAAAGCUCGUAGUUGGAGUUCUGCCAGGUGCCGCCUGUCCGCCCCAGUGGUGAGUACGUGGCGCGCAUUUGGCCCUUUCAAGGGGAGCGUAUCUGCACUUUAUUGUGUGGUGCGGGAUCCUUGACUUUUACUUUGAGGAAAUAGGAGUGUUCCAAGCAGGCUCUCGUCGUGCACAGCUCAGCAUGGAAUAAUAGCAUUGGACCUCGAUUCUAAGCUGUUGGUUGCCAGAAGCGAGGUAAUGAUGAAGAGGGAUAGUUGGGGGCAUUCGUAUUUAACUGUCAGAGGUGAAAUUCUUGUAUUUGUUAAAGACGGACUACUGCGAAAGCAUCUGCCAUGGAUGUUUUCAUUGA
rnacentral:rRNA from 1 species